rnacentral:lncRNA from 1 species
CAUUGUGAUUUAAAUAUAAUUAUUUUUCUUUGUUCUAUUCCUUAUUCGACUUUUGAAAAAGGAAUAGGGAACCAGUUCCUUAUUCCUUAUUCGGUUUCUCGAUCUUAAUCACUAGUGCUAUGAUGUAGCGUGUUCAUUUUAUGCUGCUGAUUUGAGUAAGGAUUAUUUUCUCACUGCUUUUACCUAGUAUUCUCCGAAAAAGGAAUAAGGAGCUAGUUACUUUUUCCUUAUUUGAAAAAAAAAUAAUAAAGGAAUAAGGAAUCGGGCUACUCGUUAUGCGCCCGUAUUAUGUUUGACUUAUAUUCUCAACACGUCCUAAACUAUUAUUCUACUUCACUGCCAAAUAAAUCAAACCAGUUAAAAGAGUUAAAAGACAUGAUUAAAAUUCACCAUAUUUAAUCGCUCGUUCCGUUCACGACUCACCGCUCGGAAAUUUUUGGAACAACCUUUCUCUCGUUUGCAUGUUCUGAAACACAUCUUUGGCAGUUUUCUUUAUUACGCUCUUUGACAAAGAUUUAGGCAAGCAUUUAGGCAAAAAUACAUUUUUUUUAUCAUUUUCAGAUGCUGUAUUGUCCGCUAUGUCCGCCUUUUGUCCACAGUUCUUUCGCAUCAACAGCUACCGUGCGUAAUUGUUCAUUUGAAAGAUGUGGGCAUGACGUCAUUAAUUAAUCUGACACUUUUUUGCGGACAAUAAAAUGUCAUAAAGGCCUUGAGAAGUUGACGUAAUUCACUCUUGACAGUCAAGACUAAUUUGGUGCAACCGAUACCGUUCUGUAUAAGCAACGUGUUAGUCUGUGAAUGUAACUCGAGGUACACAAUUACAAGUCACAUGUUAGAAAAUUUUGUAUUUGUGAAAAAUGUGUUGAUAUUGUCGAAGAUUUGUAUAUUCUAAUUAACAAACACUAUUUAUUCCUUUCACAUCCAGGUUGACAACUUAUUGUUAAAAAAAGUUCGCCUUACGAAAGAUUUCCAUCACGUGUACUAUAUAUACUAAUUCUAAGGCAUUCGUCUUUCACUCCUGAGGCAUACAGAGAACACGGACGUGCGAAAUACAGAAAACGAUUACAGCCAACAAGUAAAUCAAACGAAACCUGACGACAUUAUCUGGAAAAAAAAGGAAAAAACUUCCAGCAUACUAAGGUUUUGAGCAGUGGUGCCUGCUUUUUUUUCGAAUCAGAAGUGCUACUCGUGCAUCAAAACUGCUCUUCGGAUUUUUCUUGUAUUUGUAUUGCAGAAUGUACUCUACAAUGAGACCGAUUUCUGUGCUUAUUUUGGUCAUCGCCGUAUGUUCAGUACCAACGGCGUCAUCCUCUGACGACGAAAAGUUCCCCGGGAAAGAAGACUGGGUUCGAGCUGGGAUCUCGAAGCGCUUGGCUGAGGAUCUCAUUACAGCAGUUCAUGCAGCGCCGAUGACUUGUCUCCCCAGUUCCCGUUUCCGGCUGCUGUUGGAUAACCUUAUACAAAAUGAACUGAUCAGGUUGCAAAAUUGUGCUGACGCAUUUCAGGAACAAGACCAAACAUACGAAAAUAUAGUUAAAAUGUGAAAGUGACGUGAUUUUACACCUGCUAUUACAAGAUGGAACUAAACGUAGAAGAAUGUACAUACAAGACGAUAUAAACUACAGUCACAUAUAAUAAUUUAUACAGGUACUCUAAGACAGCAGUCACUACUGAAUUACAUGUUUUCAUCAAAGCUAUGUCUCAUCAAGAACAAUGUGUGGCAGAUAUACUGAAACACUACAAACGGAUUGUAAAACUACAAUAAAACAUGCAAGUUAAUGUUUAAUUUUUUUAGGCACUAUAUCCAUAAGCUAAGAUAACUUUAGAAGCUACAUACUAAAGCUGUUAGACGAUACAAACAGAAGUCUUCAGAAGCUUAGAAGUUGAAGAGCUAUACAUACAGAGAUCAUAAAACCUUGUGUAGGACAAAAAAUAUGAAACUACAAUCGGCAGAGAUUCAGAUGCCACGUACCUACCGCGGACGUGAAUAGCUAGUUUAGAACUCUUUAUACUUUGAAUACAAAAUACAGUCGAGUCUCGGUAUCUAGAACAUUCAGCGACUGAGCAUUUUAUUCAAGAUAACCGAUUUGAUUUAAAAAUUAGAUACUGUUUAUAGUAAAAGCACAUUUAUGUCUCCCCAUACCACUUCAUUUAAAUAGAAAAUAAAAAUUGAUACGAAAUAUCACAAUGAAUUCAAUCCCUAUUCUACUUCCUUGAACAAGUGCAGACAGUACCUACACUCCUUCCUUGAACCUUGUAGUCAGUCACUAUAGUACUUCCUUGAACCAAUGUUUAUGAACCCAAAGAAACAUCAGAAG